rnacentral:rRNA from 1 species
CCUACGGGUGGCUGCAGUGGGGAAUAUUGGACAAUGGGCGAAAGCCUGAUCCAGCCAUGCCGCGUGUGUGAAGAAGGCCUUCGGGUUGUAAAGCACUUUCAGUGGGGAAGAAAGCCUUGGGGCUAAUACCCUCGAGGAAGGACAUCACCCACAGAAGAAGCACCGGCUAACUCCGUGCCAGCAGCCGCGGUAAUACGGAGGGUACGAGCGUUAAUCGGAAUUACUGGGCGUAAAGCGCGCGUAGGCGGUCUGAUAAGCCGGUUGUGAAAGCCCCGGGCUCAACCUGGGAACGGCAUCCGGAACUGUCAGGCUAGAGUGCAGGAGAGGAAGGUAGAAUUCCCGGUGUAGCGGUGAAAUGCGUAGAGAUCGGGAGGAAUACCAGUGGCGAAGGCGGCCUUCUGGACUGACACUGACGCUGAGGUGCGAAAGCGUGGGUAGCAAACAGGAUUAGAUACCCGAGUAGUC